AUACAUGCAAGUCGAGCGGAUCUUUAGAAGCUUGCUUCUGAAGAUUAGCGGCGGACGGGUGAGUAACACGUGGGCAACCUGCCUGUAAGACUGGGAUAACACCGGGAAACCGGUGCUAAUACCGGAUAAUUCUUUUCCUCUCAUGAGGAAAAGCUGAAAGACGGCGCAAGCUGUCACUUACAGAUGGGCCCGCGGCGCAUUAGCUAGUUGGUGAGGUAACGGCUCACCAAGGCGACGAUGCGUAGCCGACCUGAGAGGGUGAUCGGCCACACUGGGACUGAGACACGGCCCAGACUCCUACGGGAGGCAGCAGUAGGGAAUCUUCCGCAAUGGACGAAAGUCUGACGGAGCAACGCCGCGUGAGUGAUGAAGGCCUUCGGGUCGUAAAACUCUGUUGUUAGGGAAGAACAAGUACCGGAGUCACUGCCGGKUCCUUGACGGUACCUAACCAGAAAGCCACGGCUAAUUACGUGCCAGCAGCCGCGGUAAUACGUAGGUGGCAAGCGUUGUCCGGAAUUAUUGGGCGUAAAGCGCGCGCAGGCGGUCCUUUAAGUCUGAUGUGAAAGCCCACGGCUCAACCGUGGAGGGUCAUUGGAAACUGGGGGGACUUGAGUGCAGAAGAGGGAAAGCGGAAUUCCACGUGUAGCGGUGAAAUGCGUAGAGAUGUGGAGGGAACACCAGUGGCGAAGGCGGCUUUCUGGUCUGUAACUGACGCUGAGGCGCGAAAGCGUGGGGGAGCAAACAGGAUUAGAUACCCUGGUAGUCCACGCCGUAAACGAUGAGUGCUAAGUGUUAGAGGGUUUCCGCCCUUUAGUGCUGCAGCUAACGCAUUAAGCACUCCGCCUGGGGAGUACGGUCGCAAGACUGAAACUCAAAGGAAUUGACGGGGGCCCGCACAAGCGGUGGAGCAUGUGGUUUAAUUCGAAGCAACGCGAAGAACCUUACCAGGUCUUGACAUCCUCUGACACUCCUAGAGAUAGGAUUUUCCCCUUCGGGGGACAGAGUGACAGGUGGUGCAUGGUUGUCGUCAGCUCGUGUCGUGAGAUGUUGGGUUAAGUCCCGCAACGAGCGCAACCCUUGAUCUUAGUUGCCAGCAUUAAGUUGGGCACUCUAAGGUGACUGCCGGUGACAAACCGGAGGAAGGUGGGGAUGACGUCAAAUCAUCAUGCCCCUUAUGACCUGGGCUACACACGUGCUACAAUGGAUGGUACAAAGGGCAGCGAAGCCGCGAGGUGAAGCCAAUCCCAUAAAACCAUUCUCAGUUCGGAUUGUAGGCUGCAACUCGCCUACAUGAAGCCGGAAUCGCUAGUAAUCGCGGAUCAGCAUGCCGCGGUGAAUACGUUCCCGGGCCUUGUACACACCGCCCGUCACACCACGAGAGUUUGUAACACCCGAAGUCGGUGGGGUAACCGUAAGGGAGCCAGCCGCCU
rnacentral:rRNA from 1 species